rnacentral:rRNA from 1 species
AGUGAACGCUGGCGGUAGGCCUAACACAUGCAAGUCGAACGGCAGCACAGAGGAGCUUGCUCCUUGGGUGGCGAGUGGCGGACGGGUGAGGAAUACAUCGGAAUCUACUCUGUCGUGGGGGAUAACGUAGGGAAACUUACGCUAAUACCGCAUACGACCUACGGGUGAAAGCAGGGGAUCUUCGGACCUUGCGCGAUUGAAUGAGCCGAUGUCGGAUUAGCUAGCUGGCGGGGUAAAGGCCCACCAAGGCGACGAGCCGUAGCGGGUCUGAGGGGAUGAUCAGCCCCACUGGAACUGGGACACGUUCCAGACUCCUACGGGAGGCAGCAGUGGGGAAUAUUGGCCAAUGGGCGCAAGCCUGAUCCAGCCAUACCGCGUGGGUGAAGAAGGCCUUCGGGUUGUAAAGCCCUUUUGUUGGGAAAGAAAUCCAUCUGGUUAAUACCCGGGUGGGAUGACGGUACCCAAAGAAUAAGCACCGGCUAACUUCGUGCCAGCCGCCGCCGUAA